rnacentral:lncRNA from 1 species
AUUGCAAGGAAAAUUUUGGAAAUACAAUUUAGGACAUUUGGAGGAAACAAAAAUGAUUGCAAUGAAAAGCAAUGUGAUGAUUCAAUUGAAGUGAGCAAAGCUGAAAAAAAAAGAGGCACGUUUACAUGGAAUAAAAAGAAGAGGGUGGUAUCACGGUUGGAGAAAGCUGCACGUUGUUGCUGAGCCCAUCACCCGUGGUGUGCAAGUAGGAAAGUGAACUGCACACAUACAAUUGUGAUUAAAGGAUAUGGGCCUGCACGUCCACAAGCUCUCAACCCACAAUAUGCAUAUGCUGGCACAAGAAUACAAUUUUGAUUGCAAUUGAAAAUAAAAAACACGUGAAGGCAAUUAAGUGCUGCAGCUCACGGCCUGCACCCUUUGUUUCUUCGUCCAGCUUAUGGAAGCCAAGCCCCACGAGCAACAGGUCCACAGAAGGAGGUGCAGCCCACCUUUGAAGGAAAUCACCCGUCCAGCUUGCACAUCCAACACGUCGUGGCCUACACAGCAGCAAGACAAGAAAGCACAACACGUUGAGCAGCCAACAGCACUCACGGGCUUCAACAAUGCAGCACACGCACAUUCAGCUGCUGAACCAUUUUGGGCUUGAAAAGGAGUCUCAAAUCUCAUUAGGAGACAAGCAGCUUGGACAGUAGGAAACAUCAGGACCCAUACACAAAGACUUGAUCCAACACGUCCAGCAUCUUCAUAGUUCAGCAGCUUGGCAGAGGAAGCCACGGUCAAGCACCUUCACGGCCCAAAAAGGAGCUGACAGCAGCAACCUUUAUUUAUUCCACAAAAGACCAACAACAUUAGAAGAAGUGUAAAACCCGUAUAAAAUAAAAAUAUCUUUUUAUUUUAUUAUUAUAUUUUAUAGUAUGAAAUAAUUGAUUAUGGUGUGUAUCAAUUUGAAGAAAGUGUUAAGUUGUGAGUAGUGAUUAAUUAAUAUUAUUAUUUUUGUUUAAUAAUUUCAUAGAUUAAAAUUGAUGAAUUGGUUGAUAUGCAUGUGCAUGAAAGGGGUGUUGAGAUGUCCUCAAGUACAGAUUAUUUCUUUUAAUUUUUUUUUCUAUUUUAUUUUCCAAUUGGUGGGAGUAGGACCCACGUGAUCUAAGAGAGAGAAUAUCUUAUACUUGGCUAAAGUGUUUCACGUAAAUAUGAGAAAAAGAGAAAGAGCCCUUUUUAUUUGCUUCUUAUUAAAUGCUUUUGAUGUGAGAGAAGGUAUUUGGUAUUUUUUUUUAGUCAAGUAAAUAUGCAUCAGAGAUGGUCUCCUUAUUUUGAUUGCAUUUUAUUUAUUUUUCACUUUUUGCAUGUAUGAAGAGAGAGGAAUCGUGGGAUUAAUGAUAAGGAGAAUAUCUUCUAUAUUCUAGGAACACUUUUUGGACGGUUUUGUGGGGUGGUUAGGGAAGACUUAUAGGUUAUAUUUAGGAUAAGCAGAGAGGGGAGGAUAACAGCGAAGUGAACGAGAAAAAGAAGAAAAAGAAGAGAGGCAACCCUUAUUUUCUAGAGUAAUAGUGUACAAGUGAAAACCAGUGUGCAAGUUAGAGGCGAGGAGCCACGGUUGCUGUUACCAAGUAGCAAGCGUUGUGGACUUUAUCUGUAAUUCUAGAGCAUUCAGAUCUUCCUGAAAUCCAGGUAAGGGGAGGAACCAGAUUUCUCAUGUUGUGUAUAUGUGUUCUGCAUUGUAUCAUUGGUUUUGAUGAGUGUUUUCCGUCGUCAGGGGAGUAACUUAGUUUUAUCCUUGUGCAUGGUGGGUUUACCACAAUGGUAUGUGAUGUGAUGACUGUUUUGUUAAGAAUUUUGAAUCUUCCCGUGAUCGGAAACAUUUAUAUGGGGAAUGGUGUAACCUUGGGGAGACAUGUAAGUGCGUGUUGAGAAUGGUGUAUUCUGUAGGGUUGAAUUUAGAUAUAGGGUGACGUUUUUGUAGAGAAGUGAGUGAAAGAUACGAGAGUAUAAAGAAGUAGAGAGAUAAUUAGAAUUAUAAAGAAUGUUUAUGGGGUUUUGUAAUGAUAAGGAAAAGGAUGUUUUUUGUAUGGGAAGAAUGAAAUAGUUAGAACAGAAGGGAAGAAAAGUGUUAUGAGUGAGGAAACCAGGGAGUUUAAAUAAGAAGAAAAACGAAUGGAAAAAUGGGGUGUGAUCUUCAGUGAAGAGAAAAUGAAAGGGAAAUAGCUUAGGUAGUAGCAGAUGAAGGGUUAGAGUGGGUGAGUAUUGAGAAUAAAAUGUUGGCAGUGGAAUGAUUGGGUGUGGAAGACAUUAACGAAGUUUUUCAGUAGAACAGUGAGUGUGGAGUUGGAGUUUAACAGUUUAAUGUAUAAGCGGGUAUGUGUUUGUAAGAGAUAGUAGAAACUUGGAAUUUGGGUGAUGUGAUAAUUUUUAAAUAUUAUCAAAAGUAUUUGCAUGUGAUGGUAGUAUGAUGUACAGAUAAAUUAUUAUUUUACUGGUGAACAAUAUUUUGGGUAGCUUGGUAAAAGUAUAAAACUUGUUUUAUUGGUUUAGGAAGUACAUUUGUUUGGUGCAGGAAACAAUUCCAGUGACCAGGAUUGUCUGGUGAUUAAUUCCCAUAGUAAAAUGAAGAGAAUUUAAGUAUUAUUGUGGGACCC